UCGGGCCUACGGGGCGCAGCAGUGAGGAAUAUUGGUCAAUGGACGAGAGUCUGAACCAGCCAAGUAGCGUGAAGGAUGACUGCCCUAUGGGUUGUAAACUUCUUUUAUAUGGGAAUAAAGUGAGCCACGCGUGGCUUUUUGUAUGUACCACACGAAUAAGGAUCGGCUAACUCCGUGCCAGCAGCCGCGGUAAUACGGAGGAUCCGAGCGUUAUCCGGAUUUAUUGGGUUUAAAGGGAGCGUAGGCGGAUUUUUAAGUCAGUUGUGAAAGUUUGCGGCUCAACCGUAAGAUUGCAGUUGAUACUG
rnacentral:rRNA from 1 species